rnacentral:rRNA from 1 species
GACGAACGCUGGCGGCGUGCUUAACACAUGCUAGUCGAACGGAAAGGCCCUGCUUUUGUUGGUUGCUCGAGUGGCGAACGGGUGAGUAACACGUGAGUAACCUGCCCCUGACUUUGGGAUAUCUUCACGAAACUGCGGCUAAUACCGGAUAGGAGCUCCUGCUGCAUGGUGGUGGUUGGAAAGAUUCGGCGGUUGGGGAUGGUCUCGCGGCUUAUCAGCUUGUUGGUGGGGUUGUGGCUUACCAAGGCUUUCACGGGUAGCCGGCAUGGGAGGGUGGCCGGCGACAUUGGGACUGCGAGACGGAGCAGAAUCCUACGGGAGGCAGCAGGGGGGAAUAUUACACAAUGGGCGGAAGCCAGAGACAGCAGCGCCGCGUUCGGGAUGACGGCCUUCGGGUUGUAAACCGCUUUCGCCUGUGACGAAGCGUGAGUGACGGUAAUGGGUAAAGAAGCACCGGCUAACUACGUG